UCUGUGACUCAGGGCAUUACUGUCCAAGACUGUGAUGGGACAAGUUGAGAUCUCACUGUCGUGUCUGUACCCGUCGAACAUCAUUGUAAAUCUGUCCUGCUACAUCCUUCCCCCUGUUUGAAGGCCUAGAGAAGAUACCUCUCUGGUUCACUAACUUCCUUCCAUCCUCACCGGGUCUGACCAAUAUCGACGGACCUCUCCCCUCUCCUACAGCUACACACAGAUUCGCCCAAGCUUUUUAGCUGUCAACCAAACAGCUGGUUGUUGGGAGGCAGAAAGUGGAUUGCAGUGGUUCAAGAAGGCAACUCAUCACCACCUUUUCAAGGGCAACUAGGGACAGACCAGCAUUGGCCGUUAGGAGCAAAAACAUGACCCGUCCUUUCUUCAGUUGCAUCCGACAGCCAAGCCGUUCACCCAGGAAGGUUUCUGAGCUCCAGGAUACGGUUCAGCUGGAAUAUUCAGGGAGAACGUGCAAAUUCCCAAGGCGGGAAUUGAACCCUGGUCGCUGGCACUGCGACGCAACAGUGGUGUUGGGAAAAGAUAAACUGAUGCAUGCCUAGUUUCGACUGUGCAUUUACAUUGUACCGUAAGACAGGUAAGAUCAGAACGAUUGUAAUUUUCGGCAGGACUGGGGAAAACCCUAUGUUUGGUUUUAAAUUUACCCGUCCUUUCGAAAGAGAUGACUUAGAGCUCCUCAUGGUGACAACUCAGUUAUAUUGCCUGAAACAGCUGUUUCUCAGAAGCACAACACGCAUUCAUUACUGGGAGUAGUAGCAGUCAGAGGUGACUGUGAAAAGAACGAAAAUUUAUUGGUCAAUAAAAUGCAUGUCAUCCCAGGGUCCAAGUAACCAAGUUAAGAGACAAAACAGAAGUUGCUGGAAAAGCUCAGCAGGUCUGGUGGCAUCUGUGAAGAGAAAAUCAGAGUUAAUGUUUCAGAUCCGGUGACCCUUCCUCUGAAGUUCUGAAAAAGUGGUGGAGGCUGGUACAAUUACAACAUUUAAAAGGCAUCAGGAUGGGUUCAUGAAUGGGAAGGGUUUAGAGGGAUGUGGGUCAAAUGCUGGGAAAUGGGACUAGGUUAAUUAAGGAUAUCUGAUUGGCAUGGAUGAGUUGGAUGAAGGGAUCUGUUCCUGUGCUGUGCAACUCCGUGAUUGUAACACCACUUGGAAAAAUAAAAUUCCAGCUACUGGAAAUCUGAAACAAAACAAGACUCAAGUGUUUAACGUUACCACAACCAUUUCUUUUAUUGGUGGGACCGGUGCGCUGUAUAACCAUAGAACAUGGUCCUCUUUUAUGGUUUGAACUCA